rnacentral:rRNA from 1 species
GACGAACGCUGGCGGCGUGCUUAACACAUGCAAGUCGAACGGAAAGGCCCUGCUUUUGUGGGGUGCUCGAGUGGCGAACGGGUGAGUAACACGUGAGUAACCUGCCCUUGACUUUGGGAUAACUUCAGGAAACUGGGGCUAAUACCGGAUAGGAGCUCCUGCUGCAUGGUGGGGGUUGGAAAGUUUCGGCGGUUGGGGAUGGACUCGCGGCUUAUCAGCUUGUUGGUGGGGUAGUGGCUUACCAAGGCUUUGACGGGUAGCCGGCCUGAGAGGGUGACCGCCACAUUGGGACUGAGAUACGGCCCAGACUCCUACGGGAGGCAGCAGUGGGGAAUAUUGCACAAUGGGCGGAAGCCUGAUGCAGCAACGCCGCGUGCGGGAUGACGGCCUUCGAGUUGUAAACCGCUUUCGCCUGUGACGAAGCGUGAGUGACGGUAAUGGGUAAAGAAGCACCGGCUAACUACGUG